rnacentral:misc_RNA from 1 species
GAUGAAGAACGCAGCGAAAUGCGAUACGUAAUGUGAAUUGCAGAAUUCAGUGAAUCAUCGAAUCUUUGAACGCAUAUUGCGCUCUCUGGUAUUCCGGAGAGCAUGCUUGUUUGAGUAUCAGUAAACACCUCAACUCCCUUUUCUUUUUUGAAAUUGGAGCUGGACUUGAGUGAUCCCAACGCUUUCUUCCAAGAAAGUGGCGGGUUGCUUGAAAUGCAGGUGCAGCUGAACUUUUCUCUGAGCUAUAAGCAUAUCUAUUUAGUCUGCCUAAAAAACAGAUUAUUACCUUUGCUGCAGCUAACAUAAAGGAGAUUAGUUCUUGUGCUGACUGAUGCAGGAUUCACAAAGACAGCUUCGGCCGACUUUGUAAACUCGAUCUCAAAUCAAGUAAGACUACCCGCUGAACUUAAGCAUAUCAAUAAGCGGAGGA